AUGCCGUCGUCCAUCCCGCACACGAAGGAGCAGUCCGUCUCCAACACGAACACGAGUGGGGAACUAAAAAGCUGCGCGUGGGCUGAUGUCGAGGGCGAGGCGGCUGUGCCUCUGCGCCGGGCGUUCCUGGACGGGAGGGUGGUCGUAGAGGCCGCGUAUGGCGGCAGGGAGUUCCUGUUCGACUUCCGGUGGAUGGUGCGCAUCUACGCUGGCACCACCGAGGAGGUCGCCAUGGGCUGGAUUGAUGACUGCAGGACCUGCUUCUUCCCUGUGCCAGAGAGCGGGAGGAAGAGGAAGAGGGGCGAGCCUGAGCUGGAGGAUGGGGCGUCAUUCGGGGUGGAUGAGAGGUCCGACGAGAACAGCGACACGGUGGAGUCCUCAAUCUAG
rnacentral:rRNA from 1 species